CUGUUCUUAAAUAUGAAUGAUUACAAAAGUUAGCAGAGGAAAUCUUGAUAGAAAAAAAAGGCGUCGCGCGACGAAACAUCAUAGCGAGGCACAUGCUUAUAAACUAUGGGUCCCUUUAAGAAAACUUGCAUUUAAUUUGUGAACAAACAACUAUGUGAAUUGAAUCAUCUUAGUAACAUAGUAAAAAAAAUCAAACGAGAAUUCGUAAGUAACGGUGAGUGAAAGCGAACUUAGCCAGGUGUUAAAACCCGAAGAAGGUUCUAAGUCCUAUCUAACCCGAAUAAGAAUCUGUAGUAGUACGAAUCUUUUUUUGUACGAAAAAAAGGAGUACCAUCUUCUUAGCUAAAAUUUUUUCUAAUCGAUAGUGAACGAGUACCGUGAGGGAAAGAUUUGAAUCUGCUAAUUUAUAUUUAUUUGAAGCCGACAAAUACGGCAACAAAGUGCCUUUUGCAUAAUGAGUCAGCAAGUUAAUAUAUGUAGCAAGCUUAAACAAAAACUUAAGGCUUUUUCUAGUUACAUGUAUUAGACCCGAAGCCGAGUGAUCUAGUCUGGAGCAAGUUGAAGGUACCUUAAAAAGUAUUGGAGGACUGCACCCACGUCUGUUGAAAAAUACGGGGAUGACUCCUGAUUAGGGGUGAAAGUCCAAUCAAACUCGGUGAUAGCUGGUUUUCCGCGAAAACUAUCAAAGUAGUACGUUAUAAAAUAAAAAUGUGGGUAGAGCUACUAAUUAAACUUAGACUUUGCUAAGUUUUAUUAAACUCCAAAUCAUAUUUUGAUUAAAAAUAGCAGACAGUCGUUGGGCGAUAAGGUCCUACGUCAAAAGGGAAACAACCCUAAUCGAUAGCUAAGAUCUCCAAAUUAUAAAUUAGUGAAAAAAUAAAAAAUAAUUCGAAUAAACAGAGUAGGCUUAGAAGCAGCCAUCUAUUGGAGAAAGCGUUUUAGCUCAUUAUUUCGUAUUUAUUACUUUUAUUUAAAAUGUAAAGAGUCUUCAAUUUAUAUAUCGAAGCUUCGAAUUAAGCUAAAAAUAGCUUAGUGGUAGCGGAACGUCCUGUAGUCUUUUAUGUUAAUGGUAAAUUGCAUAUGAAAAAUCAGGAGUGCUAAUGCUGACAUGAGUAGCGUUAACCAUGUUGAAAAUAAAUCAUGGUCGUCUAUUGUUCAAGGGUUUCCAGUAAAUUUUAAGUAACUGGAUUUAGUCGACCCUUAAGAAAAAAGUGAAAACUGUAUUCGAUAGGAAAAAAUUAACCACAUAUAUGCAAAAUACCCUUGUAUUUGUGAAAAAAAUAGUUUUUUUACUAAUAUAUUUCACUAAACUGCUAAUAUUAGUUUAACUAUUUUUCAGGAAAAAAUUAUAUGCUGUUUGACCGUACCUAAAACCGACACAGGUGAACUUGUUAAGAAAAUAAAGACGAAUGAGAUAACUAUAUUUAAGGAACUCGGCAAAUUUACUCUCUACGUUAGCAAAAAAGAGUACCUUAAAAGGUGUCAAAAAUUGGGGGUAGCGACUGUUUAACAAAAAAAUCUUAAAACUUUGCAAAUUCGAAAGAAGAAGUAUAAGGUUUGACGCCUGCCCAGUGCUUGAAAAUGAAAAGGUAUAUGUUUACGCAUGUAUUAUAAAUCCGAGUAAACGGCGGUCUUAACUAUAAGGAUCCUCAGGUAGCGAAAUUCCUUGGCGGGUAAAUUCCGUCCUGCAUGAAUGGCGUCACGACUACCCCACUGUCUCUAAUAUAGUCUCAGCGAAAUUACAUUGUCUGUGAAAAUGCAGACUCCCUGCAACAAGACGGAAAGACCCUAUGAUUCUUUACUAUAAUUUUACGUCGUAAUAAUCUGGCUCACAGUACAGUAAAAGUAGAAGUAUAUUUAUACAUCACUGAAAAACUACUCUCUGGACAAGAAAUUACUUACUAAACAGGAAAUACGUAAAACUGGUAGUUUACUUGGGACGAGGACCUCCUAAAGUGUAACGGAGGUGCGCAAAAGUAUAUUUUAAUUAACAAUUUUUGUUAAUAUAAAACGUAAUGGUAAAAAUUUGCUUAACGGUAAGACUUACCAGUCAAGCCGAGACGAAAGUCGGCCAUAAUGAUCCGGCAGUAACGUAUGGAAGUACUGUCGCUUAUCGGAAAAAAGAAACUCUAGGGAUAACAGAUUUAUCAUGGUUGAGAGUUCUUAUCGAUGCCAUGGUUUGAUACCUCGAUGUCGGCCUAUCUGUUGUGGGAGAGAAAAGAAAAAAGAUUAUCUUUAGUACGAGAGGAUUGAGAUAUAUUAACCAAUAGUGUAUCGGUUGCAACGUUUCUUGCAGUGCCGAGUAGCCACGUUAACACUAUAUAAGCGCUGACAGCUUAUAAGCGCAAAAAUAACUUUUACCUUUUCAUGAACAUUCUAGAAGAUUAUUAGAUAGAUCGGUUUAAUAUAUAAUACUUGUAAAAGUAAGUAAAUAAAUACGAAAUGUUCAUUAUACUUUAUUAUUAUAUUUAAGAACGGGUAAUCCCGUUCUUAAAUA
rnacentral:rRNA from 1 species